CCUACGGGAGGCAGCAGUAGGGAAUCUUGCGCAAUGGGCGAAAGCCUGACGCAGCGACGCCGCGUGAGGGAAGAAGGCCUUCGGGUUGUAAACCUCUUUCAGGAGGGACGAAGCCACUCGGGUUAAUAGCCCAGAGGGUGACGGUACCUCCAGAAGAAGCCCCGGCUAACUACGUGCCAGCAGCCGCGGUAAU
rnacentral:rRNA from 1 species